AUUUUUAUAGUUUAUUAAAAACAUUGAAUUGUGAUUUCAAAAAUGAAUUUACUUCUAAAAAUA
rnacentral:tRNA from 1 species